GACUAACCCUGGCGCAUAGUUGGUGACGGUCUUAUGACACGGAUGGUCGGAUGGACACGGAUGUUGCCUAGCUAGACUUUCGCUGCGAACAGAGGACGAGGGUCUUCGCCCUAGUCGCCUGUGCGCAGCGGGCCUAGAGGCAGCGACUGAGAUAUCCAUUCCACUCCCGUCAAUAAUUCGUCAUGACCACUGACCAGGUUGCCUUCACGGAGCCGAGCUCAUCUAUGACGUUACUGAAAUUGAAACUUGAACGGGGAUGGGGAUCCAAGGAAGAAGAUGACGGAUCGUGCAAAUAAGGAGCCGCUAUGCCCGCGGAAGAGGAAGAAGCGAAUAAGCGAUAUAUCUGCUUCCAAAAGGCUAGAAGCUGGAAUUCCAUUCAGACACAUGUCACAAGCAACAUGAUUUGGACAUUUCAACGAACACGUCGUUGGACGUAGCAGCAGCAGCAGGUAGUUGACUACUAGACUUAAUAAUUGCUACCACAUGCAUCCUUUCACAUAGCAGGAAUUAAUAAAAAAACACCGCUACUUUUGUUCUUAGGGGGUGUUUGGUUUCUAGGGACUAAUGUUUAGUCCCUAGAUUUUAUUCCAUUUUAGUUCCAAAAUUACCAAAUAUAGAAACUAAAAUUUUAUUUUAGUUUCUAUAUUU
rnacentral:lncRNA from 7 species